rnacentral:lncRNA from 1 species
CACGCUUCAGAAUCAUUAGUGAGACAGAGAGCUAGCUUGCAUUCUUUUCAUCAUGUGGAAGAUACAAUGAGAAGUCAGCAUCUCAAGUCUGCAACCCGAAAGAGAACCCUCAUCAGAACCCAACAAUGCUGGAACCCAGAUCUUGAACUUUCAGCCUCCAGAACUGUGAGAAAUAAAUUUCUGUCGUUGAUAAGUGAACCAGUCCAUGGUAUGUUGUUAUAGCAGCCCAAACUGACUAAGAUACUAUUUUUAUCAUGUACGUCUAUUUUAAACCUCUCCAGACAUUGUUGUUGUUGUUGUUAUAUAAAGUUCACCAUUAUUUGGAUCUACC